rnacentral:rRNA from 1 species
GAAGCAUGACCGUAAGGACAUGUGGACAGUAUGGGAGUGAGAAUGUUGGCAUGAGUAGCGAGAUGUGGGUGAGAAUCCCACAGGCCGUAAACCCAAGGUUUCCAGGGGAAGGUUCGUCCGCCCUGGGCUAGUCGGGACCUAAGCUGAGGCCGAAAGGCGUAGGUGAUGGACAACAGGUUGAUAUUCCUGUACUACCGAUAACCGUUUGAGAGA